rnacentral:rRNA from 1 species
ACGCUCGACACCUACGGGGGCAGCAGUGGGGAAUAUUGCACAAUGGGGGAAACCCUGAUGCAGCGACGCCGCGUGAAGGAAGAAGUAUCUCGGUAUGUAAACUUCUAUCAGCAGGGAAGAAAAUGACGGUACCUGACUAAGAAGCCCCGGCUAACUACGUGCUAGCAGCCGCGGUAAUCUGAGCGGGCUGGCAAGGC